GGCUCAUUAUAUAAGUUAUCGUUUAUUUGAUAGUACCUUACUACUUGGAUAACCGUGGUAAUUCUAGAGCUAAUACAUGCUAAAAAUCCCGACUUCGGAAGGGAUGUAUUUAUUAGAUUAAAAACCAAUGCCCUUCGGGGCUCACUGGUGAUUCAUGAUAACUCCUCGAAUCGCAUGGCCUUGUGCCGGCGAUGGUUCAUUCAAAUUUCUUCCCUAUCAACUUUCGAUGUUUGGGUAUUGGCCAAACAUGGUUGCAACGGGUAACGGAGGGUUAGGGCU
rnacentral:rRNA from 1 species